UACGGAGGGGGCUAGCGUUGUUCGGAAUUACUGGGCGUAAAGCGCACGUAGGCGGCUUUGUAAGUUAGAGGUGAAAGCCCGGAGCUCAACUCCGGAAUUGCCUUUAAGACUGCAUCGCUUGAAUCAUGGAGAGGUGAGUGGAAUUCCGAGUGUAGAGGUGAAAUUCGUAGAUAUUCGGAAGAACACCAGUGGCGAAGGCGACUCACUGGACAUGUAUUGACGCUGAGGUACGAAAAGCGUGGGGGAGCAAACAGG
rnacentral:rRNA from 1 species